CCCUUAGAUGUCCUGGGCUGCACGCGCGCUACACUGAUGUGUUCAAUAAGCACCUAACCUACUCCGAAGGGACUGGGUAACCUUUGCAAAGCACAUCGUGAUGGGGAUAGAUUAUUGCAAUUAUUAGUCUUGAACGAGGAAUUCCUAGUAAGCGCAAGUCAUCAGCUUGUGUUGAUUACGUCCCUGCCCUUUGUACACACCGCCCGUCGCUACUACCGAUUGAAUGGUUUAGUGAGAUCCUUGGAUCGGCCCUGUCGCGGCUGGCAACGGCCGCGUCGGCGCGUCGAGAAGACGAUCAAACUUGAUCAUUUAGAGGAAGUAAAAGUCGUAACA
rnacentral:rRNA from 1 species